GUACCGAUAGGUGGUUUAUUAAGUUUUGGGUAAAAGCCAGAAGCUCAACUUCUGCGUUUGCUCAAGAUACUGAUAGACUAGAGGGACAAAGAGGUGGCUGGAACGAACGGUGUAGUAGUGAAAUGCGUUGAUAUCGUUCGGAACACCGAAAGCGAAGGCAGGCCACUGGGUGUCACCUGACACUGCUAGGACGAAAGCGUGGGUAGCGAAUGGGAUUAGAUACCCCAGUAGUCCACGCUGUAAACGAUGAAUACUAGGUAUUUGCGAGUAUCGACCCUCGUAUGUACCGUAGCUAACGCGUUAAGUAUUCCGCCUGGGGAGUACGGUCGCAAGACUAAAACUCAAAGGAAUUGACGGGGACCCGCACAAGCGGUGGAGCAUGUGGUUUAAUUCGACGGUAAGCGAGGAACCUUACCAAGGCUUGACAUGUAGCUGCAAGCGCACGGAAACGUGUGACCUUCGAGGGUGCUACACAGGUGCUGCACGGUUGUCGUCAGCUCGUGUCGUGAGAUGUUCCCUUAAGUGGGAGAACGAGCGCAACCCCCAUAGUAUGUUGAUUUUCAUACUAGACUGCCGGCGUUUAAGCUGGAGGAAGGCGGGGAUGACGUCAAAUCAGCGUGGCUCUUACGCCUUGGGCGACACACGUGCUACAAUGCAUAGGAACAAAGGGACGCAACAUCGCAAGAUAGAGCAAAUCCUCUCAAAAACUAUGCUCAGUUCAGAUUGUGGGCUGCAACUCGCCCGCAUGAAGCUGGAAUCGCUAGUAACCGUGAAUCAGCCUCGUCACGGUGAAUACGUUCUCGGGUUUUGUACACACCGCCCGUCACACCAUGGAAGUGGUAAAUACCCAAA
rnacentral:rRNA from 1 species